UGCGCAGUAGAGCAGAGGUAGCUUAUCAGGCUCAUAACCUGAGGGUCGCAGGUUCGAAUCCUGCCUGCGCCA
rnacentral:tRNA from 1 species